AAGCGGCGGACGGGUGAGUAACGCGUGGGUAACCUACCCUGUACACACGGAUAACAUACCGAAAGGUAUGCUAAUACGGGAUAGUAUAUUUGAGAGGCAUCUCUUAAAUAUCAAAGGUGAGCCAGUACAGGAUGGACCCGCGUCUGAUUAGCUAGUUGGUAAGGUAACGGCCCACCAAAGCGACGAUCAGUAGCCGACCUGAGAGGGUGACCGGCCACAUUGGGACUGAGACACGGCCCAA
rnacentral:rRNA from 1 species